rnacentral:rRNA from 1 species
GACGAACGCUGGCGGCGUGCUUAACACAUGCAAGUCGAACGGAAAGGCCCUGCUUUUGUGGGGUGCUCGAGUGGCGAACGGGUGAGUAACACGUGAGUAACCUGCCCUUGACUUUGGGAUAACUUCAGGAAACUGGGGCUAAUACCGGAUAGGAGCUCCUGCUGCAUGGUGGGGGUUGGAAAGUUUCGGCGGUUGGGGAUGGACUCGCGGCUUAUCAGCUUGUUGGUGGGGUAGUGGCUUACCAAGGCUUUGACGGGUAGCCGGCCUGAGAGGGUGACCGGCCACAUUGGGACUGAGAUACGGCCCAGACUCCUACGGGAGGCAGCAGUGGGGAAUAUUGCGCAAUGGGCGGAAGCCUGAUGCAGCAACGCCGCGUGCGGGAUGGCGGCCUUCGGGUUGUAAACCGCUUUCGCCUGUGACGAAGCGUGAGUGACGGUAAUGGGUAAAGAAGCACCGGCUAACUACGUG